rnacentral:SRP_RNA from 1 species
GCCGGGUGUGGUGGCGCAUGCCUGUAAUCCCAGCUACUAGGGAGGCUGAGGCAGGAGAAUUGCUUGAACCCGGGAGGCUGAGGUUGCAGCGAGCCGAGAUCACGACACUGCAUUCCAGCCUGGGCGACAGAGUGAGACUCCGUCUCAA